UAAUAUUUAAUACUCCAUGCAUGUGUCCAAACAUUCGAUGUGGCAGGGUGAAAAGUUUUGUUUGGAAACUAAGGCCUGGUUUAGUUUCCCAAAUUUUUUUCCCAAAAACAUCACAUCUAAUCUUUAGACACGUGCAUGGAGCAUUAAAUA
rnacentral:misc_RNA from 1 species